CAUUUUCCUACAAGGGAGGAUGAAAUUGGAGAUGAUAGAUUAAACAUUGGGCACUACCACAGUAUGAACAAAACACAGAUGGAACAAUUUUUCUUGCUGAUCUCUUGCUAUUGCAGUCCGAAUCCAAAAAGAGAAGAAGACAAGGUGAUAACGAAGCACGUUUAAGGAAGAUAAAGACCAGCAGAAUGACAACAGGGUGAUUCAGAAACGAAAAAGAAAAAAUAUCCACAACAUUCCUGAGAUCUUAAUCAUGAUGAAAAAUCUUUUCCAUA